rnacentral:rRNA from 1 species
UACGUAGGGUGCAAGCGUUGUCCGGAAUUAUUGGGCGUAAAGAGCUCGUAGGCGGUCUGUUACGUCGGCUGUGAAAACCUGGGGCUCAACUCCGGGCCUGCAGCCGAUACGGGCAGACUAGAGUGUGGUAGGGGAGACUGGAAUUCCUGGUGUAGCGGUGAAAUGCGCAGAUAUCGGGAAGAACACCUAUGGCGAAGGCAGCUCUCUGGGACGGUACUGACGCUGAGACGCGAAAGCGUGGGGAGCGAACAGG